rnacentral:rRNA from 1 species
AGUGAACGCUGGCGGUAGGCCUAACACAUGCAAGUCGAACGGCAGCACAGUAAGAGCUUGCUCUUACGGGUGGCGAGUGGCGGACGGGUGAGGAAUACAUCGGAAUCUACUUUUUCGUGGGUGAUAACGUAGGGAAACUUACGCUAAUACCGCAUACGACCUACGGGUGAAAGCAGGGGAUCUUCGGACCUUGCGCGAUUGAAUGAGCCGAUUUCGGAUUAGCUAGUUGGCGGGGUAAAGGCCCACCAAGGCGACGAUCCGUAGCUGGUCUGAGAGGAUGAUCAGCCACACUGGAACUGAGACACGGUCCAGACUCCUACGGGAGGCAGCAGUGGGGAAUAUUGGACAAUGGGCGCAAGCCUGAUCCAGCAAUACCGCGUGGGUGAAGAAGGCCUUCGGGUUGUAAAGCCCUUUUGUUGGGAAAGAAAAGAAGCAGGUUAAUACCCCGCUGUUCUGACGGUACCCAAAGAAUAAGCACCGGCUAACUUCGUG